AUACGUAGGGUGCAAGCGUUAAUCGGAAUUACUGGGCGUAAAGCGUGCGCAGGCGGUUUUGUAAGCCAGAUGUGAAAUCCCCGGGCUUAACCUGGGAAUGGCAUUUGGGACUGCAAGGCUGGAGUGCGGCAGAGGAGACUGGAAUUCCUGGUGUAGCAGUGAAAUGCGUAGAUAUCAGGAGGAAUACCGAUGGCGAAGGCAGGUCUCUGGGCUGACACUGACGCUCAUGCACGAAAGCGUGGGGAGCAAACAGGAUUAGAUACCCUGGUAGUCCACGCCCUAAACGAUGUCAACUGGUUGUUGGGUCUUCACUGACUCAGUAACGAAGCUAACGCGUGAAGUUGACCGCCUGGGGAGUACGGCCGCAAGGUUGAAACUCAAAUGAAUUGACGGGG
rnacentral:rRNA from 1 species